rnacentral:rRNA from 1 species
AGAGUUCGAUCCUGCGCUUCAGGAUAACGCUGGCGGCAUGCUUAACCACAUGCAAGUCGAACGGGAAAGUGUUUUUGUCCAGUGGCGACGGGUGAGUACGCGUAAGAACCCUGCCCUGGGGAGGGGAACCACAACUGGAAACGUUUUGCUAAUACCACCCCCGUAGGCUGAGGAGCAAAAGGAGGAAUCCCCCAAGGAGUGGCUCGCGUCUGAUAGCAGUUGGUGAGGGCAAUAGCUUACCAAGGCGAUGUAUCGGAGCUGGAAUCCGAGAGGAUGAUCAGCACACUGGGACGAGACCAAACGGCCCAGACUUCCUACGGGCUGCAGCAGUGUGGAAUUUUUCCGCAAUGGGUCGAAAGCCUGACGGAGCAAUGCCGCGUGGAGGUGGCCAGGCUACGGGUCGUCCAAACUUCUUUUCUUCUCCGGAGAAGAAACAAUGACGGUAUCCUGAGGAAUAAUCUCGGAUAACUCUGUGCCAGCAGCCGCGGUAAGACAGAGGAUGCAAGCGUUUUAUCCGGAGGAUUGGGCGUAAAGCGUCUGUAGGUGGCUUUUCAAGUCCGCACGUCAAAUCCAGGGCUCAACCCGGGGACGCUGGUGGAGGAAACUACCAAAUGGAGUACGGUAGGCAGAGGAAUUGCCGGUUGGAGCGGGAAAUGCAUUGAGAUCGGAAAGACACCAACGGCCGAAAGCACCUCUGCUGGGCCCGACCACUGACACUGGAGGACGAAAAGCGAGGGGCGCAAUGGGAUAAUUAGAAGACCCCAGAGUCCUAGCCGUAAACGGAGGAUACUAGGGCUGUGCGACUCGACCCGUGCAGUGCUUGUAGCUACGGGGGCGUUAUUAAGGACCGCCUGGGGAGUACGUUCGCCCAAGAAUGAAAUCAAGGAAUUGGGACGGGCGGCCCGCCACAACCGGCUGGACGUGGGCAUGUGGUUUAAUUCGAGCCAAGCGAAGAACCUUACCAGGGGCUUGACAGGCCGCGACUCCUCUUGAAAGAGAGGGGUGCCUCGGGAACGCGGACACAGUGGGGCAUGGCUGUCGUCAGCUCGUGCGAGUAAGGGUUGGGUUAAGUCUCGACAACGAGCGCAACCUCGUGUUUAGUUUGCCACCUAUGAGUUGGAACCCUAUUGAAAAGACCGCCGGUGUUAAGCCGGAGGGAAGGAAGAGGGGAUGAGGCCCAGUCAUCAUGCCCCUUAUGCCCUGGGCGGACACACGUGCUACAAUGGCAGGGCCAAAGGGUCGCGAAUCUCGCGAGGGUGAGCUAACUCCAAAAGACCGUCCGCAGUAGCGGAUUGCAGGCUGCAACUCGCCUGCAUGAAGCAGGAAUCGCUAGUAAUCGCCGGUCACCCAUACGGCGGUGAUCCGUCCCGGGCCUGUACACACGCCAGUCACACUUAGAGGAGCUGGAAGGUUUGAAGUCAUUACCCUUAACCAUAAGGAGGGGAUUGCUAAGGCUAGGCUUGCGAUGGAGUGAAGUCGUAACAAGGUAGCGUCCUGGAAGGUGCGGGCUG